AUGAACUUAUUUUGUCUGUUUCUCUUAAUUAUCUUGCAUCUCGCAUCUGCAGAAGAAGAAUAUGACAUUCCAUUGGCUCCGUAUAAUGUGAAAUUAAUGUGCCGUCAAGGUCGCCGAUUCUCAAAAGCAGCACAAGCGACAAAUCAAUGUCCAACAUCUUCAACUUCUUGUGGUUAUUUUGAAUUUUCAAGUGGUGAUCAAAAGAAUGGAAAUCCAACAACCGGUGUUUAUGAUUGUGUUGAUGGAGGAAUUCUUUUUGAAGAUUCUGGAGAAGUUGAUGAUGAUUUGGAGGAUAGACAUCGUAAUGUAAGAGUUUUUAAAAACGGUAGCGCCAGUCAGAAAAUAGUUUGAAACCGCUACUAUAGUAAAUACUAUAGUGAAAGUAAACUUCUAAAAUGUCUCAAAAAGUUCAAAAUUUUGGAAAUAUUGGCAAUAAACUAUACCAUACGACAUUUGAAACUGUUUCAUUCGGAUAUUAAGCUUUCAACCCAGUAUGAAUAUGUACAUUUUGUCAAACCCACCACAAAUGACUCACUUUUAAAAUUCACUUUUUAUUUAGUGCCGUCCCAUCAUAAAAAACAAGUAUUUAGAAGCAAAAUUUUUUUUCAGCAAAAAUAUUGACAAACUUCCACAAAUACUAUUCAAGCUAUUUGUUUGAUCAUAAACAUUUUUUUCUUUGUGAAGUUGUAAACGAGGUGACGGAGAGAUUGGCCAAAUAUGGUUCAGAAAAAAUUGCUGUGGAAAAAUUACUGUCGGAUUAACUCGUCCAACGAAAAAUUUUUUAAUUCAAAUUUUCAGCCCGCGUUCUCUGAACUGUGUGGAGCAAUUGCAAAGUGUACUACAGUAUCCGUUGACAAAUUGAAUCCGUCAUUUGUGAAAUAUGUUGUUCAAGAGUAUGACAUAAAACUGGAGCUUCUCGAAAAUACUGAAAUUCGAUUUUGCUGUGCUCUCUUUCAUUCUACACUUCAACGAUUGGUCACAUCUCCUACAUUUUCAUUACCAGAAGUUGCUGCUCCUCCUGUGAGUUGUCAAGGAAAAAUGUGUGCUCCAGGAGCUGUUGGUUGCCUUCUCCAUGCAGUUCAUGGAGAGGAGUAUGAUGAUUAUGAAGAAGAAACAAAGAAAAGGUAUAAACGACUGGCAUUAAAUGAUUACAUUGAAGAUGAAGACGAUUAUGUUAAUGCUGUGGAGCUAAACUUUGAGGAUACAGACCUUGAACUAAUAACCAGGGAACCACCAGUUGAGACAACAACAACUACCACUCUAAAACCAACACUUCCAAGUUUAAAAUUACCAAUGUCACUAGAUGAUCUCACAACGACUAAACCUAUGACAACGACUACUUCCAGUCCUACAACAACGGCUUCAGCUAUGUCAAAGAGCAAAACUUUCAACACGAAACACUCUUUAGAUGAAGAUGAAGAAGAGGAGCCACAUCAAUCAACUCAUUGUGUAUAUCGUCACCUGAAUAAUGAAUUCUAUCGAUAUUGUCUUCUUGUCCAUCAAUCUCGAGAUGGUGAUCGUUGUUAUCAUCAUCAAGGCCACACCAUUUGCUGUUGCUUUGUAGCUCCUGAUAAAGAAUCAUGUGAUCCCACAGAAAUGGAUCUAAUUGUUCCACCACCAAUGAAUGGAAAAGCUCUUCCACCACGUGUAAUUGUAACUAUUCCACCAAGUACUACAUCCACUACAACAAGCACAACAACUACAACGACUACAACAACUACAGAAGAGCCUACCACUACAACAACUUCAGCACCGACGACGACAACGCCGGAGCCAUCAAAGUAUCCUCCGCUGCCUCCACAAAUCUAUCGGCCGAGGCCUAUUGAUCAAAUGAAGAGGAGGAAACAGACUCCUAAAAAAUGUCGUGUUGCAUACGUGCGCACCAAAUCGGGUUCCCGAACCCGUCCAGUACUGGUUUGUGAUUCGGCUUCCGCUGCCAACUCAACUUCGUUCCCUAUUUUCCUUGUUUGCUCAUUUGUUCUCUUGUUACAGGUCUUCAAUAUUUAUAUUUGA